GGGUUGUGAGGUUAAGCGACUAAGCGUACACGGUGGAUGCCCUGGCAGUCAGAGGCGAUGAAGGACGUGCUAAUCUGCGAAAAGCGUCGGUAAGGUGAUAUGAACCGUUAUAACCGGCGAUGUCCGAAUGGGGAAACCCAGUGUGUUUCGACACACUAUCAUUAACUGAAUCCAUAGGUUAAUGAGGCGAACCGGGGGAACUGAAACAUCUAAGUACCCCGAGGAAAAGAAAUCAACCGAGAUUCCCCCAGUAGCGGCGAGCGAACGGGGAGGAGCCCAGAGCCUGAAUCAGUGUGUGUGUUAGUGGAAGCGUCUGGAAAGGCGCGCGAUACAGGGUGACAGCCCCGUACACAAAAAUGCACAUGCUGUGAGCUCGAUGAGUAGGGCGGGACACGUGGUAUCCUGUCUGAAUAUGGGGGGACCAUCCUCCAAGGCUAAAUACUCCUGACUGACCGAUAGUGAACCAGUACCGUGAGGGAAAGGCGAAAAGAACCCCGGCGAGGGGAGUGAAAAAGAACCUGAAACCGUGUACGUACAAGCAGUGGGAGCCCUGAUUUAUCAGGGUGACUGCGUACCUUUUGUAUAAUGGGUCAGCGACUUAUAUUCUGUAGCAAGGUUAACCGAAUAGGGGAGCCGGAGGGAAACCGAGUCUUAACUGGGCGUUAAGUUGCAGGGUAUAGACCCGAAACCCGGUGAUCUAGCCAUGGGCAGGUUGAAGGUUGGGUAACACUAACUGGAGGACCGAACCGACUAAUGUUGAAAAAUUAGCGGAUGACUUGUGGCUGGGGGUGAAAGGCCAAUCAAACCGGGAGAUAGCUGGUUCUCCCCGAAAGCUAUUUAGGUAGCGCCUCGUGAAUUCAUCUCCGGGGGUAGAGCACUGUUUCGGCAAGGGGGUCAUCCCGACUUACCAACCCGAUGCAAACUGCGAAUACCGGAGAAUGUUAUCACGGGAGACACACGGCGGGUGCUAACGUCCGUCGUGAAGAGGGAAACAACCCAGACCGCCAGCUAAGGUCCCAAAGUCAUGGUUAAGUGGGAAACGAUGUGGGAAGGCCCAGACAGCCAGGAUGUUGGCUUAGAAGCAGCCAUCAUUUAAAGAAAGCGUAAUAGCUCACUGGUCGAGUCGGCCUGCGCGGAAGAUGUAACGGGGCUAAACCAUGCACCGAAGCUGCGGCAGCGACACUGUGUGUUGUUGGGUAGGGGAGCGUUCUGUAAGCCUGUGAAGGUGUGCUGUGAGGCAUGCUGGAGGUAUCAGAAGUGCGAAUGCUGACAUAAGUAACGAUAAAGCGGGUGAAAAGCCCGCUCGCCGGAAGACCAAGGGUUCCUGUCCAACGUUAAUCGGGGCAGGGUGAGUCGACCCCUAAGGCGAGGCCGAAAGGCGUAGUCGAUGGGAAACAGGUUAAUAUUCCUGUACUUGGUGUUACUGCGAAGGGGGGACGGAGAAGGCUAUGUUGGCCGGGCGACGGUUGUCCCGGUUUAAGCGUGUAGGCUGGUUUUCCAGGCAAAUCCGGAGAAUCAAGGCUGAGGCGUGAUGACGAGGCACUACGGUGCUGAAGCAACAAAUGCCCUGCUUCCAGGAAAAGCCUCUAAGCAUCAGGUAACAUCAAAUCGUACCCCAAACCGACACAGGUGGUCAGGUAGAGAAUACCAAGGCGCUUGAGAGAACUCGGGUGAAGGAACUAGGCAAAAUGGUGCCGUAACUUCGGGAGAAGGCACGCUGAUAUGUAGGUGAAGCGACUUGCUCGUGGAGCUGAAAUCAGUCGAAGAUACCAGCUGGCUGCAACUGUUUAUUAAAAACACAGCACUGUGCAAACACGAAAGUGGACGUAUACGGUGUGACGCCUGCCCGGUGCCGGAAGGUUAAUUGAUGGGGUCAGCGCAAGCGAAGCUCUUGAUCGAAGCCCCGGUAAACGGCGGCCGUAACUAUAACGGUCCUAAGGUAGCGAAAUUCCUUGUCGGGUAAGUUCCGACCUGCACGAAUGGCGUAAUGAUGGCCAGGCUGUCUCCACCCGAGACUCAGUGAAAUUGAACUCGCUGUGAAGAUGCAGUGUACCCGCGGCAAGACGGAAAGACCCCGUGAACCUUUACUAUAGCUUGACACUGAACACUGGUCCUUGAUGUGUAGGAUAGGUGGGAGGCUUUGAAGUGUGGACGCCAGUCUGCAUGGAGCCGUCCUUGAAAUACCACCCUUUAAUGGCUGGUGUUCUAACGUGGGCCCGUAAUCCGGGUUGCGGACAGUGUCUGGUGGGUAGUUUGACUGGGGCGGUCUCCUCCUAAAGAGUAACGGAGGAGCACGAAGGUUGGCUAAUCCUGGUCGGACAUCAGGAGGUUAGUGCAAUGGCAUAAGCCAGCUUGACUGCGAGCGUGACGGCGCGAGCAGGUGCGAAAGCAGGUCAUAGUGAUCCGGUGGUUCUGAAUGGAAGGGCCAUCGCUCAACGGAUAAAAGGUACUCCGGGGAUAACAGGCUGAUACCGCCCAAGAGUUCAUAUCGACGGCGGUGUUUGGCACCUCGAUGUCGGCUCAUCACAUCCUGGGGCUGAAGUAGGUCCCAAGGGUAUGGCUGUUCGCCAUUUAAAGUGGUACGCGAGCUGGGUUUAGAACGUCGUGAGACAGUUCGGUCCCUAUCUGCCGUGGGCGCUGGAGAACUGAGGGGGGCUGCUCCUAGUACGAGAGGACCGGAGUGGACGCAUCACUGGUGUUCGGGUUGUCAUGCCAAUGGCACUGCCCGGUAGCUAAAUGCGGAAGAGAUAAGUGCUGAAAGCAUCUAAGCACGAAACUUGCCCCGAGAUGAGUUCUCCCUGAGACUUAGAGUCUCCUGAAGGAACGUUGAAGACGACGACGUUGAUAGGCCGGGUGUGUAAGCGCAGCGAUGCGUUGAGCUAACCGGUACUAAUGAACCGUGAGGCUUAACCUUACAACGCCGAAG
rnacentral:rRNA from 1 species